GAUGAACGCUGGCGGCGUGCCUAAUACAUGCAAGUCGAGCGAACGGACGAGAAGCUUGCUUUUCUGAUGUUAGCGGCGGACGGGUGAGUAACACGUGGAUAACCUACCUAUAAGACUGGGAUAACUUCGGGAAACCGGAGCUAAUACCGGAUAAUAUUUUGAACCGCAUGGUUCAAAAGUGGAAGACGGUCUUGCUGUCACUUAUAGAUGGAUCCGCGCUGCAUUAGCUAGUUGGUAGGGUAACGGCUUACCAAGGCAACGAUGCAUAGCCGACCUGAGAGGGUGAUCGGCCACACUGGAACUGAGACACGGUCCAGACUCCUACGGGAGGCAGCAGUAGGGAAUCUUCCGCAAUGGGCGAAAGCCUGACGGAGCAACGCCGCGUGAGUGAUGAAGGUCUUCGGAUCGUAAAACUCUGUUAUUAGGGAAGAACAUAUGUGUAAGUAACUGUGCACAUCUUGACGGUACCUAAUCAGAAAGCCACGGCUAACUACGUG
rnacentral:rRNA from 1 species